UAAAUUAUAGUUAUCGAAAAAUAGUAAUAGAAAUAAAUUUAAGAUUUCUCUCGUAAUAUACUACACAGAUAACGAUAUAAAUUACGUUUGGUUUCUUCAAUACGGUAAAACCGAAGGAUGGUUCGUAAAUCGUCCUAGAGAAUUCGAAAAAGAAGGAUAUCGAGAAGAUAGACAAGUCGAGAAAUCUAUAAUCGAAAAGGAAGUAAACGUGUUUAGUAAUAAUAUAAUAAUGUGAUGUGCUUAUGGCAUAAUGCCAAGCUACGAGAAUGUGGACAGAAAAAAGAAGACAAGCUGACGUUUCUGUUUCGCCAUGUACACACUGCGAAAGAAGUUAGGUUAGUUAAAAAAUGUUUCUUCAUAUCCAAGAUAAAAUAAAUCAACAAGCAAACGAGAAGUUGCGAUUAUCGUGUCAAAAAAAAGAAAUGAGCAAUCAAAGAUCAAUCAAACAGUUUGCACAAAGUGGAAUUCUACUAUUGGAAUUAUAUAUCGUCGACAAGCUUGCGGAAGUAAAGCUUCAAUGUUUCUAUGAUCGACUCGAUUGCAUAAAGUGAAGCAAGCUGAAUCGGAAAGCAAUGGAACGAGACAAAGAACGAACUCUUGCAAAGUAAAAUUAUUUUACACCGCUGCUUCUAAGGGAUUCAAUUAUCUAAUAUCUUUCUUCGAUCGUUUGUACCGAGCGCAAAAACUACCCGGAAGUCGAGGUGAAACGAGGUAUUCGUUACUCGCGUCUCUAUUUGCAAUUACACGCUCAUCAUGUACCAUGGAAUGACUUGCCGAUAUUGCAAAUAGUUAUUCAACGAAAGGGAAUGGAAUGGGAAUACUACUCUCCCCGGGAUAUAGGGAAAUAAUUGAAUUGAUGAAAAAGGAAAACAAACGAUUAAAAUCGUGACAAUUCCUCUUCUGUUUACCAUCCAAUAAUUCUUUCAGUAAUUAGAACAUGACAAUUUUUAACAUU